rnacentral:rRNA from 1 species
UACGGAGGGGGCAAGUGUUACUCAUCAUAACUGGGCGUAAAGAGUGCGUAGGUGGUUAAUUAAGUUAUAAGUCAAAUGCAAAUCCCGAAGGUUUGUUAAGCUUAUAAUACUGGUUGACUGGAGAUUUGUUCAGGAAAGUGGUAUUUUUGAGGAAAGGGGUAGAAUCCACCGAGUUCAAAAAGACAACCGGAAGCGAAGGCGACUUUCAAAUAAGUCUGACACUGAGGCACGAAAGCAUAGGGAGCAAACA